ensembl:lncRNA
GCAAAGGGCUGUGUCCAGGCACUCCGCGUAGCAUCAUGGUUUUUGUCAUGUAACAACGUGCCAAACAUGCCCUUCAUGAGCCUGUCUGGGAAAUGAUGUUCAUCAAAUGAGGAUCCCACAGGAAGUCAGGAGAGCCGUGCAUCCAUGAUGGCCUAACCACCACACCAGAGGCCUUUUGUGUUUCUGCACACUUUACAAAAUAGCUCUAAGCCUGUCAUGGACCACAUCAAGGUUCACUGGUCCGUCAACAUUUACGGCGAGAUAAAGACAGAGAGGGGAAAAUUCCAGACUCUGGGGAGAUUUCCUUAAAAAGAACUGUUGUGACAUCCCCUCUGAUUCUGCUUUACAUCGUCUUAAGAUACAACUCGACCUCCG